rfam:Pongo abelii chromosome 12.
AAAACUUGCUAUACCACCUUGAAAACACCUGAUCUCAUCUCAUUUAGGAAGCUAAGCAGGGUUGGAUCUGGUUAGUACUUGAAUGGGAGACUACUAGGAAUACCAAUUGCAUUUGGUA